AUUAAAGUUGUUGCGGUUAAAAAGCUCGUAGUUGGAUUUCUGGUACAGUGCGCUUAGCCCAUUGGGCCGUAAGGUUUGAUGAGUGCUGAUGUGCGCUUACCAUCUUUGCUAGAAAACGACUCUGCUCUUCACUGGGUAGGGCCGCGCUCUAGCUCUUUUACUUUGAAAAAAUUAGAGUGUUUAAAGCAGGCUUGCGCUAUGAAUACAUUAGCAUGGAAUAAUAAUCUGGGACUUCGCUCCUAUUUUGUUGGUUUCUGGGAAUGAAGUAAUGAUUGAUAGGGACGGUUGGGGGUGCUAGUAUUCAGCGGCCAGAGGUGAAAUUCUUGGAUUCGCUGAAGACUAACUAAUGCGAAAGCAUUCACCAAGCACGUCUUCUUUAAUCAAGAACGAAAGUUGGGGGAUCGAAGACGAUCAGAUACCGUCGUAGUCUCAACUAUAAACUAUACCGACUAGGGAUUGGCGGAAGUUGUUCAACGACUCCGUCAGCACCUUAUGAGAAAUCAAAGUCUUUGGGUUCCGGGGGGAGUAUGGUCGCAAGGCUGAAACUUAAAGGAAUUGACGGAAGGGCACCACCAGGAGUGGAGCCUGCGGCUUAAUUUGACCCAACACGGGGAAACUUACCAGGUCCAGACAUGGGGAGGAUUGACAGACUGAAGUUCUUUCUUGAUUCUAUGGGUGGUGGUGCAUGGCCGUUCUUAGUUGGUGGAGUGAUUCGUCUGGUUAAUUCCGUUAACGAACGAGACCUCGACCUGCUAAAUAGUUCAGCAUACCCUCGGGUAUGUAUGUGACUUCUUAGAGGGACUGUCGGUUUUUAGCCGAAGGAAGUUCGAGGCAAUAACAGGUCUGUGAUGCCCUUAGAUGUCCUGGGCCGCACGCGCGCUACACUGAUACGUUCAUCGAGCUUACAACCUUGUCUGAGAGGACUGGGUAAUCUUUUCAAAGCGUAUCGUGAUGGGGCUUGUUCAUUGUAAUUAUUGAACAUCAACGAGGAAUUCCUAGUAAACGCGAGUCAUCAGCUCGCAUUGAUUACGUCCCUGCCCUUUGUACACACCGCCCGUCGCUGCUACCGAUUGAACGGAUUAGUAAGCUUCAGGGAUCGCCACUCAUUGGGGGCAACUCUAGUGGGUGGUGAGAACUGACGCACACUUGCUCGUUUAGAGGAAGCAAAAGUCGUAACAAGGUU
rnacentral:rRNA from 1 species